rnacentral:rRNA from 1 species
AGUAAUGGCGAACGAACAGGGAUCAGCUUGGGUUGAAACCAAGGCAUCUGCCUUGGAUUGUGGCCUUUAGACAUUGUACCAACGGCGGCGCGAGCGUAAGCCUCUUGGAAUAGAGCGUCUACCUGGGUGAGAAUCCUGUGUUUCGCUUGAUGUCCGCCGUGCACGGUACUUGCUCACAGAGUCACGCUCCUCGGAAUUGGAGCGUAAAUUGGGUGGUAAAUUUCAUCUAAAGCUAAAUACAGGCUCGAGACCGAUAGCAAACAAGUACCAUGAGGGAAAGAUGAAAAGGACUUUGAAAAGAGAGUUAAAAGUGUUUGAAAUCGCUGAACUGGAAGCGAAUGGAACUAGUGCUCUGGCUGAGAUUGCUGUAAGUGGCAGCCAAAUUUGGGUGUCUGAACGCAAGUCUCUCACCUGGCUGUAAGCUGUUGCUUGCAAUGUGUCUCAGCUUGAAUGUCAAUGUCUAUGCGCGCAUGAGGAUGGCCU